GGUGAGGUUCCCGAGUGGCCAAAGGGAACAGACUGUAAAUCUGUCGGCUAAGCCUUCGGAGGUUCGAAUCCUCCCCUCACCACCA
rnacentral:tRNA from 6 species